CGGCGAGUGAAGCGGCAACAGCUCAAAUUUGAAAUCUGGCCCUCGGGUCCGAAUUGUAAUUUGUAGAGGAUGAUUUUGGUGCGGUAUCUUCCGAGUUCCUUGGAACAGGACGCCUUAGAGGGUGAGAGCCCCGUACGGUUGAAUGCCUAGCCUCUGUAAAUCUCCUUCGACGAGUCGAGUAGUUUGGGAAUGCUGCUCUAAAUGGGAGGUAAAUUUCUUCUAAAGCUAAAUAUUGGCCAGAGACCGAUAGCGCACAAGUAGAGUGAUCGAAAGAUGAAAAGCACUUUGAAAAGAGGGUUAAAUAGCACGUGAAAUUGUUGAAAGGGAAGGAUUUGUGACCAGACUUUUUCUGGGCGGAUCAUCCGGGGUUCUCUCCGGUGCACUUUGCCCAGUAAAGGCCAGCAUCGAUUUUCGGCGGCGGAUAAAAGCAGUGGGAAUGUGGCUCCCUACGGGGAGUGUUAUAGCCCAUUGUAUAAUACGCUGCUGGGGAUCGAGGUACGCGCUUCUGCAAGGAUGCUGGCGUAAUGGUUAUCAAUCACCCGUCUUGAAACACGGACCAAGGAGUCGAACAUUUAUGCGAGUGUUUGGGUGUUAAACCCUCACGCGUAAUGAAAGUGAACGGAGGUGAGAGCCCGUACGGGUGCAUCAUCGACCGAUCCUGAAGUUUUCGGAUGGAUUUGAGUAAGAGCAUA
rnacentral:rRNA from 1 species